UGAUGAGGUAGAGGUGCAGAAAAGAUCAGUAACUUUUGAGUUUAUCCAGAACCAGGAUUUUAAAUUAAAAGUGAAAGGUUUUUCUGCCGAAGUGGUUUUUUUAUUGGUUCAAAAAUACCACUGGGGCUGUAUAUAAAAUAUGCAGAACUGUCAUAAUAAUUUUUUAUUAUGUUGUGCUAUCUCAUGU
rnacentral:ncRNA from 2 species